rnacentral:rRNA from 1 species
UACGUAGGGUGCGAGCGUUAAUCGGAAUUACUGGGCGUAAAGCGUGCGCAGGCGGUUUUGUAAGCCAGAUGUGAAAUCCCCGGGCUUAACCUGGGAAUGGCAUUUGGGACUGCAAGGCUCGAGUGCGGCAGAGGAGACUGGAAUUCCUGGUGUAGCAGUGAAAUGCGUAGAUAUCAGGAGGAACACCGAUGGCGAAGGCAGCAAACUGGUCGUCAACUGACGCUGAGGCGCGAAAGCGUGGGUAGCAAACAGG